CCUACGGGGGGCAGCAGUUGGGAAUAUUGGACAAUGGGGGAAACCCUGAUCCAGCGAUGCCGCGUGAGUGAUGAAGGCCUUCGGGUUGUAAAGCUCUUUUGGCAGGGACGAUGAUGACGGUACCUGCAGAAUAAGCUCCGGCUAACUUCGUGCCAGCAGCCGCGGUAAUACGAAGGGAGCAAGCGUUGUUCGGAUUUACUGGGCGUAAAGAGCGCGUAGGCGGUUAUGUAAGUUGGAUGUGAAAGCCCCGGGCUCAACCUGGGAAUUGCAUUCAA
rnacentral:rRNA from 1 species